rnacentral:rRNA from 1 species
AACGAACGCUGGCGGUAUGCUUAACACAUGCAAGUCGAACGGGCUUGGAGGCAACUCCAAGUUAGUGGCAAACGGGUGAGUAAUACAGAGGAAUCUACCUAGCAGUAAGGAAUAACCUUGGGAAACUAAAAUUAAUACCAUAUAUUACCGACCUAGUCGGGAAAGGUACGUCGCUGUUAGAUGAGCCUCUGUCAGAUUAGCUUGUUGGUGAGGUAACGGCUCACCAAGGCAAUGAUCUGUAGCUGGUCUGAGAGGAUGAUCAGCCACACUGGAACUGAGACACGGUCCAGACUCCUACGGGAGGCGGCAGUGGGGAAUAUUGGACAAUGGGCGCAAGCCUGAUCCAGCAAUACCGCGUGAGUGAUGAAGGUCUUCGGAUUGUAAAGCUCUUUUAGUGGAGAAGAUAAUGACGGUAUCCACAGAAAAAGCACCGGCAAACUUCGUGCCAGCCGCCGCCGUAA